AUUGAACGCUGGCGGCAGGCCUAACACAUGCAAGUCGAGCGAGCGGCGGACGGGUGAGUAAUGUAUGGGGACUGCCCGUUAGAGGGGGAUAACUACUGGAAACGGUGGCUAAUACCGCAUACUAUCGGAUAACCCAUAUGGGAUUAGCUAGUAGGUGGGGUAAAGGCUCACCUAGGCGACGAUCUCUAGCUGGUCUGAGAGGAAGAGCAGCCACACUGGGACUGAAACACGGCCCAGACUCCUACGGAGGCAGCAGGGGGGAAUAUUGCACAAUGGGCGAAAGCCGGAUGCAGCCAUGCCGCGUGUAUGACGAAGGCCUUCGGGUUGUAAAGUACUUUCAGUCGGGAGGCGGUACCGGCAGAAGAAGCACCGGCUAACUCCGUGCCAGCAGCCGCGGUAAUUC
rnacentral:rRNA from 1 species